rnacentral:rRNA from 1 species
GGAAUAUUGGUCAAUGGACGGAAGUCUGAACCAGCCAUGCCGCGUGGAGGAAGAAGGUCCUAUGGGUUGUAAACUCCUUUUGUUCCAGAGUAAUAAGGGCUUUGCGAAGUCCGAUGAGAGUAUGGGACGAAUAAGCAUCGGCUAACUCCGUGCCAGCAGCCGCGGUAAUACGGAGGAUGCAAGCGUUAUCCGGAUUUAUUGGGUUUAAAGGGUGCGCAGGCGGAUAGUUAAGUCAGCGGUGAAAUCUCACGGCUCAACCGUGGAACUGCCGUUGAUACUGGCUGUCUGGAGUACGGACGGCGCCGGCGGAAUGUGUCAUGUAGCGGUGAAAUGCUUAGAUAUGCCACAGAACACCGAUCGCGAAGGCAGCUGGCGAGGCCGGUACUGACGCUCAGGCACGAAAGCGUGGGGAUCAAACA